CCCAUGUCUGUAUUCACAGGUGCCCCCAUGUCUCCCAGUGUCCCCAAAUGUCUCAGUGCCCCCAUGUCUCACUGUGUCCCCUAGUAUCCUAGUGACAUGUGGACACACUGAGGCAUGGGGACACUGGGAGACUAUGGGAUUGGGCGACAUGGGGACACUGACACUGUGAUACAUAGGGACACAGACACUGGGUGACUUGUGAGACUGAGAUACUGGGAGACAGGGAGACAUUGGGAGCAAU